rnacentral:rRNA from 1 species
GACAUAGGUCGCAAACGUUAUCCGGAAUUAUUGGGCGUAAAGGAUGCGUAGAUGGUUCGAUAAGUUACUGGUGGGAAAUCGAGGCUCAACCUCGUGGAAGUUAGUAAUACUGUUGAACUUGAGUUCAGGAGAGGUUAACGGAACUUUAUGUGGAGCGGUAAAAUGCGUAGAUAUGUAAAAAGAACAUCAAUAAGGCGAAAAGCAGUUAACUAUUCUGUUACUGACAUUGAGGCAUGAAAGCGUGGGGAGCAAACAGG